rnacentral:misc_RNA from 1 species
GUCCAUCCCCACACAAGAAGCUUGUCCUCUCAAUCUCUUGCCAAACAUGCACCUUCUGAGUGUUUGAUCUCGACCUCUUCCUGCCAGUCUCUGUUCUAGAUAAUCUUUCAUAAGGAGCCUGUCCUCUACUAGUCUUCUUUGUAGCAUGGCGUCCAAGGUUUUCAAGUGGAUGAUGAAUGGGGGAAACAGCCAAAUUUCUAUUUGUUUUACGAUCCCAAACUUUAGUUCCUGGAUCAUCAAGGCCUGUGAUACUGCUUGGAUCUUCCUCUUCAGAUGUAUAAGGACUAAC